CCCAGAGCCCAGCCGACUGAUGGAGCAGAGAAGGAGGGAAGGAGAGAGUCAACAGCCCAGAGCCCAGCCGACUGAUGGAGCAGGAAGGAGGGAAGGAGGAGUCAACAGCCCAGAGCCCAGCCGACUGAUGGAGCAGAGAAGGAGGGAGUCAACAGCCCAGAGCCCAGCCGACUGACAGAGCAGAGAAGGAGUGAAGGAGAGAGUCAACAGCCCAGAGCCCAGCCGACUGAUGGAGCAGAGGAAGGAGGGAUCAACAGCCCAGAGCCCAGCCGACUGAUGGAGCAGAGAAGGAGGGAAGGAGAGAGUCAACAGCCCAGAGCCCAGCCGACUGAUGGAGCAGGAAGGAGGGAAGGAGAGAGUCAACAGCCCAGAGCCCAGCCGACUGAUGGAGCAGAGAAGGAGGGAGUCAACAGCCCAGA
ensembl:lncRNA